rnacentral:rRNA from 1 species
UACGGGGGGGGCGAGCGUUGUUCGGAAUUACUGGGCGUAAAGGGUUUGUAGGUGGCCUGCUAAGUCAGACGUGAAAUCCCCUCAGCUUAACUGGGGAACUGCGUCUGAUACUGGCGGGCUUGAGGACAGGAGAGGAACGCGGAAUUCCAGGUGUAGCGGUGAAAUGCGCAGAUAUCGGGAAGAACACCCGUGGCGAAGGCGGCUCUCUGGGACGGUACUGGACGCUGAGACGCGAAAGCGUGGGGAGCGAACAGG